rnacentral:rRNA from 1 species
GAACGCUGGCGGCGUGCCUAAUACAUGCAAGUAGAACGCUGAAGAGAGGAGCUUGCUCUUCUUGGAUGAGUUGCGAACGGGUGAGUAACGCGUAGGUAACCUGCCUUGUAGCGGGGGAUAACUAUUGGAAACGAUAGCUAAUACCGCAUAACAAUGGAUGACACAUGUCAUUUAUUUGAAAGGGGCAAUUGUUCCACUACAAGAUGGACCUGCGUUGUAUUAGCUAGUAGGUGAGGUAAUGGCUCACCUAGGCGACGAUACAUAGCCGACCUGAGAGGGUGAUCGGCCACACUGGGACUGAGACACGGCCCAGACUCCUACGGGAGGCAGCAGUAGGGAAUCUUCGGCAAUGGGGGCAACCCUGACCGAGCAACGCCGCGUGAGUGAAGAAGGUUUUCGGAUCGUAAAGCUCUGUUGUAAGUCAAGAACGGGUGUGAGAGUGGAAAGUUCACACUGUGACGGUAGCUUACCAGAAAGGGACGGCUAACUACGUGCCAGCAGCCGCGGUAAUACGUAGGUCCCGAGCGUUGUCCGGAUUUAUUGGGCGUAAAGCGAGCGCAGGCGGUUUGAUAAGUCUGAAGUUAAAGGCUGUGGCUCAACCAUAGUUCGCUUUGGAAACUGUCAAACUUGAGUGCAGAAGGGGAGAGUGGAAUUCCAUGUGUAGCGGUGAAAUGCGUAGAUAUAUGGAGGAACACCGGUGGCGAAAGCGGCUCUCUGGUCUGUAACUGACGCUGAGGCUCGAAAGCGUGGGGAGCGAACAGGAUUAGAUACCCUGGUAGUCCACGCCGUAAACGAUGAGUGCUAGGUGUUGGAUCCUUUCCGGGAUUCAGUGCCGCAGCUAACGCAUUAAGCACUCCGCCUGGGGAGUACGACCGCAAGGUUGAAACUCAAAGGAAUUGACGGGGGCCCGCACAAGCGGUGGAGCAUGUGGUUUAAUUCGAAGCAACGCGAAGAACCUUACCAGGUCUUGACAUCCCGAUGCUAUUUCUAGAGAUAGAAAGUUACUUCGGUACAUCGGUGACAGGUGGUGCAUGGUUGUCGUCAGCUCGUGUCGUGAGAUGUUGGGUUAAGUCCCGCAACGAGCGCAACCCCUAUUGUUAGUUGCCAUCAUUCAGUUGGGCACUCUAGCGAGACUGCCGGUAAUAAACCGGAGGAAGGUGGGGAUGACGUCAAAUCAUCAUGCCCCUUAUGACCUGGGCUACACACGUGCUACAAUGGUUGGUACAACGAGUUGCGAGUCGGUGACGGCGAGCUAAUCUCUUAAAGCCAAUCUCAGUUCGGAUUGUAGGCUGCAACUCGCCUACAUGAAGUCGGAAUCGCUAGUAAUCGCGGAUCAGCACGCCGCGGUGAAUACGUUCCCGGGCCUUGUACACACCGCCCGUCACACCACGAGAGUUUGUAACACCCGAAGUCGGUGAGGUAACCUUUUGGAGCCAGCCGCCUAAGGUGGGACAGAUGAUUGGGGUGAAGU